CAGUAGCCGCGGUAAUACGUAGGGUCCGAGCGUUGUCCGGAAUUACUGGGCGUAAAGAGCUCGUAGGUGGUUUGUCGCGUUGUUCGUGAAAACUCACAGCUCAACUGUGGGCGUGCGGGCGAUACGGGCAGACUGGAGUACUGCAGGGGAGACUGGAAUUCCUGGUGUAGCGGUGGAAUGCGCAGAUAUCAGGAGGAACACCGGUGGCGAAGGCGGGUCUCUGGGCAGUAACUGACGCUGAGGAGCGAAAGCGUGGGGAGCGAACAGGAUUAGAUACCCCUGUAGUCCCUGUCUCUUAUAA
rnacentral:rRNA from 1 species